GAUGAACGCUAGCGGCAGGCUUAAUACAUGCAAGUCGAGGGACAGCACAGGUAGCAAUACAUUUGAUGGCGACCGGCAAACGGGUGCGGAACACGUACACAACCUUCCUAUAAGUGGGGAAUAGCCCAGAGAAAUUUGGAUUAAUACCCCGUAACAUAAUGAUGUGGCAUCACAUUAUUAUUAUAGCUUCGGCGCUUAUUGAUGGGUGUGCGGCUGAUUAGAUAGUUGGCGGGGUAACGGCCCACCAAGUCUACGAUCAGUAGCUGGUGUGAGAGAAUGAUCAGCCACACGGGCACUGGGACACGGGCCUGACUCCUACGGGAGGCAGCAGUAAGGAAUAUUGGACAAUGGACGCAAGUCUGAUCCAGCCAUGCCGCGUGAAGGAUUAAGGUCCUCUGGAUUGUAAACUUCUUUUAUAAGGGACGAAAAAAGGUCUUUCUAGAUCGUCUGACGGUACCUUAUGAAUAAGCACCGGCUAACUCCGUGCCAGCAGCCGCGGUAAGAC
rnacentral:rRNA from 1 species